rnacentral:rRNA from 1 species
GACGAACGCUGGCGGCGUGCUUAACACAUGCAAGUCGAGCGGAAAGGCCACUUCGGUGGUACUCGGGCGGCGAACGGGUGAGUAACACGUGAGUAAUCUGCCCCCGGCUUUGGGAUAGCCACCGGCAACGGUGAUUAAAACCGGAUACGACCACUUCUCGCAUGGGAUGGUGGUGGAAAGUUGUUUCGGCCAGGGAUGUGCUCGCGGCCUAUCAGCUUGAUGGUGAGGUAAUGGCCCACCAUGGCUUCGACGGGUAGCCGGCCUGAGAGGGUGACCGGUCACACUGGGACUGAGACACGGCCCAGACUCCUACGGGAGGCAGCAGUGGGGAAUAUUGGACAAUGGGCGGAAGCCUGAUCCAGCAACGCCGCGUGAGGGAUGACGGCCUUCGGGUUGUAAACCUCUUUCAGCAGGGACGAAGCGCAAGUGACGGUACCUGCAGAAGAAGCACCGGCCAACUACGUGCCAGCCGCCGCCGUAA